AGUUGAUCCAUACCACCUCCUUCCCGCCUUCCUUUUGUCUCUGUAGAGAAGAGCUUCCUGGCUUGUGAUCUCAGGCAAAUGACUGUGGAGGUGGGCGUCUGCAGAGACAAUACGUUGGCAGAGCUCCAGCUACAAUCAGCCCAGUACCGUGUCUCUGGACAGAGAUGAGACUGAGGACGCUGUUGUGAUGGGGAUUCUCUACUGCGUCUACUGGACACAGCUGGACUUUGUGGUUCCCCAGCUCCCAGGUAGCUAACCCAACCAGCGAGGCCUCACCUCACCACUGAGGGCCUCCCCACAUCCUAGUGACACAUCCUAGGGACAGGGCACUGGACUAGCCAGCCCAUGACAGGGCACUGGCCCUUUUUUGUCGUCCUGGAACUGGGCUGUCAGCUGUUAGUGCCGAUGUUACUGUGUCUUGCAGAUGCACUGUACUCUCAGCCCCAGAAGACAGGGCAGCCUGUCCCCUGUGCGAGGCACUCAAGGGAGUGAGGCUCCAUCACAGACACCAACAGUUUGAUGCUGCACAACUACUUAUUUCUUAACCUACAGAGUGGGCAGAAUUUGGGGAAAGCAAAUGCAUAUCUCUACAAAGUUGUGAUGCUUUCUGUCAGGCUCUGCGCUCAGUUCAAAAUACUAGUGCUCACAGCCAUUUUCCAGAUCUGUGAGGCUGUCUCACCACCUUACCCAAUCACAGCAGAUGGGAAGUGUGCUCAGGCCUGAGUUUAAACACUCUUAGCCAGGUUCUCAACUUGAGACCCCUAGUUCCAGGCACAUACAAUGCGCCCACCGUGACCCCAAUCCUGCAAUUGGAUCCAUGCUAGCAAACCCUUUACAUUGGUGCAGAGCCCCACUGAAGUCAAUGAGGUUCCAUGUGGAUCAGGCCCAAGGGUGGGAGCCCUGAUUUCUUUGGAGAAUCAAAGUCCUGGCAUGCACACUAUGUAUUUUUGGGUUUGGGGAGAUAAUCUGACCUCUGACAGUCCAAGAGCCUGUGUAAAUAUCUGAUUUGCACAUGCAGUCACAGGACUAGGUGUGCAACUUAGGUGGGCAAUUACAUGCUCAUUUUUGUGCAUGGCUCUAGGGUUCUUCCUCUUCCUCUGUCUGGAAGCUCUCAGCAUAAGGGCUUUCUCAGUUGGGGACCCUAUCUGUGGCAUUUACUCCUCUCGGUGGCCCCUCCAAACCCCAGGCUAGGCAUCUUCUGGGAAGGAUGUUGAACAAAUUUAUUUUCCUUAGCAGUGGAUUGAAGUUUUGGUUGAAUUAUUUGGCUUUCUAGUAAAAUCUCUGUUGCUAAAGUGCCCCAGGUGGCAUCAUAAAAAUUUGUAACAUAUAAAAUAAAGUCACCAUCAGACAGAAAUAGAAACUUACUUGUCCAUGUGGGCACUGCACAAUGUUUGUGAUUGUGAUUAUGAACCUGGAAAACACACUGGUGUUACUGGACUCCAACGGCAGUCGUUACAACACACACAAUCUCAUGGUGCACGGCCUGGCCUCUGUCACAGGGUCCCCAGCCCUGAUCUUGUAAUCAGACACAUACAGAGCACCUCUGCACCCCUUUGGGGCUGUGCAUUCAGAUUGCAGGAUCAGGGCCCAAGGCAUUUCGAGAUACUGGCAUAAAAUUACCUUCAAGGUUUUUUAAUGUAUUUAUGAAAUAAUUUCUAUUCUUCAAGUGAACUUUACACACUAAAGCGGCUGGAAAUGGCAGAUGCUGCCUACAUCAGGUAGGCUAGCCCUGCAGUGGGCGGUGUAAUUUCCAGCUUGGG